rnacentral:ncRNA from 1 species
AUUUCGGGGCGGGGUGCAAUUCCCCACCGGCGGUAAAGGCUGUUGCCCAAGCCCGCGACCCGCGCUCUGCGCGGCUGAUUUGGUGAAAAUCCAAAGCCGACGGUACAGUCCGGAUGUGAGAAA